GUGCCAUUCUUCUGGGGAUCUGUGUCUGUGUGGCGGUUGUGGAGCUCCUGGGGAUGAUCCUCUCCAUGUGCCUGUGCAAGAGUGUCGUCCAGGAGGAUUACAGCAAAGUACCCAAGUACUGAGCCCAGCACGAAGCCAGCCACACGUUAAACACAGAUGGACGGACUCUGCCUUUCUCUCCUCUUCGUGCACACACACACACACACACACACACACACACACACACACACAGAAAUUGAGACAGCUGUCUUCACCGUUGGAGGUUCUCGUGUCUUGACAGCUGUGCAAAUUUCUCACGCCCUCGCCCGACGUGUCCCACGCUCAAAAACUCAGCUGUCAGUCAAAGCUCGACACACACGUUGGACUCAUAUUUAAAGCGUUGUCCUUUGAUGUUUUUUUUUAUUAUUAUUAUUAUUAUUUUAUUCUUCAAAAGCUCAAGAAUUUUGUCAUUUGAUUCUAUGCAAAAGGUCCAUUUAGAUUUUAAGCGGUUUUGUCUGCGCUGACCUCAGUGUUAGAUUGAGCACUUUAGUGACAUUUUUUUUUUUUUGGGACAUUUUCACUCCCGAUUUCUAGUCAGGCAGGUGGGAGGGAAACCAGAGAGAGUGUGUGUGAAGGCCCCUCCGUAGGAUCACUGCCACCCUGUGAUCCUACACCUGGUAUUAUUGGUGCUGAGUAAGGCUUGCUCCGCUCAGGGCUGCUGCGGUGGAGGUUUUUGGUUUGGUUGGGUUCACAAUCAGCGCUCUGCACCCAGCAACCCUGACAUGAGCCUCCGCUGACCCCGCCACCUCCUCCUCCUCCUCCUCCCUAUUGUCCUUCAUCAUCCCCUGAAUCUCUGUCUUCCUGUCGGCUGGAAGCAAGCAGCCCCACAUGAAGAGUAUGUGUGACGUGCUGAGUUCUUAUUUUGUAUCUGUUUGUUCUUUUUUUUUUAUAUAUAUAUAUAUAUUUUCGUGUCAUCUGUUAUUUUUGACUGUACAUAUGCUCACUAAGGGAUUAAGGCACUCUGGUGCUCGGUCAGCACUUCAUAUGGGAAAGUUUUCACCCACAUGCUCUUGUUUUAAGAGCCCUACUGUUCUUUGUUUCCUCCCCAUUGUUCACGAUGUGCAGACCGCAGCUCCCAUCGCAGCUCGUCAGCGCUAUUUCGGUCCGAAUCGGAGACAUUGGAAUCCCUCGCGUGAAUCUGUCGUCACUCAUCAAGCCAUAUUGUUAUUUCUUUUAAUGUUUUUUGGCGAACAGAAAGCCCUCCGCUCCCCGUCGCGGUGCCCAGCGUAGUUAUUUAAGCUCUUUUUGUAAUUAAAAGACAGCCACAGUCCGUUUCCCCUGCGCUCGCGUUGUUCAGUGCCUAAUACAUUAUCUGCUCUGGUUUAUACAGGUGCAUGUCAGUUAUCUCAAAAAGCUAAUUUAUUUCAGGGAAUCAGUUCCAAAAGGGAAACUCUUAUUAAUCCAUUUCACACAUAGUGAGCAUUUAUUUCAGCUCAUUUCGAUGGUUGGUUGGAAGUUUAGUUUCUUAGAAAAUGUGAUUGUUACAUAAGAUGUGAGGUCUUUCAUUGCGGCCGUCGGCUCUUCUAGAGGUUUGUGGGCAGGCGCCAAGUCCUGCUGUAAAAUGAAAUCUGCAUCCUCAUCAAAGCUUGUCAGAAAAAAGCAUAAAUUGCUCUAAAGUUUCCCGCUAGACGCUGACCUCGGACCUCUGAAAACACAGUGGAGCAACACCAGCAGACGACAUGGCACCCCAAACCAUCUCUGAGAGUGGAAAAUUCACACUGGACCUCAAGCAACAUGGAUUCUGUGCGUCUUCACUCUUCCACCAGACUCUGGGACUUUGAUUUAUAAAUGAACUGAAAAAUCGUCUCUCAUAUAAAAGGAGGACUUUGGACCCCUGAUCAACAAUACGGUCCUUUUUCUCCUUAGCCCAGACAAGACGUUUGCCUCCCAGGUCCUGGUUAGUCUUUGUGUGGAAAGCUUGGUUUUGCUUCACAAUCCUCUGAAAACUUUGGUAAUCCAUCUUGCUUGUGCAGUUUCCUAACACAAAAUGUUAUUUUCAUUUAUAUGCUUGAGAUACAGCAUCCUGUGCACAACCAGCUUCUUUAGUAAUUAACUUUGAUGGCUUACCUUCAUUGUGGAGGAUGCCGCUCACUCCCUGCUGGACGAAUGCCAAGUCAGCAGACUUCCUGCUGACUUGGUGAUUUUGUAGAGCAUAACUAAACAUUUCUGUAGUAAAAAAUUCUCUCAUUGUUCUUAUGCAAUAUUCAGAUUUUCUCAGAAACUAAAUUUCAGGUUUCUUGUCAGUCAUAAUUUUCUAAUUUAACAAAAAGAAAUAUAACUUUGUGAGUAAUAAUUUUAAAUAUAUAUGAGUUUGUUUUUUUAAGUUGAGGUGCUGAAACAAAUAAAAUGUUGUAAAUGUUAUUCUACAUUAUUUAGAUACAGACUGUAAUAUUGAGAAGAAGGAAAAACUUUUUUUUAAAAAGCAAAGUUGUUGCAUGUUUAUUAAGGCAUCUUUCUGUCAUGCAUCCUAGAAAACCUCUGUUCUCUUUUGCCACCCCCACCCCCAUCCAUUUCAGUUUAAAAAUACAAUAAUAAUCUGUGUUUAAUGGUACAUGAGCGAGCAGACUGCAUGUUUUAUGUUUUUCAGUCCUUCCUCCUUUUACAUGAUGUUCACCUAUCACCCGUAUGCCAAAAGAGGAAACAGUUACAGUCAGCUUUCCUUCGGUUAGCCUCGCAAACUUCCACGUUAGUUUAACUUGAUGGAAAUUGAAGGCUUUUUGUAUGAAAUAUUAUGUGUAAUGAUGUCGUUUGGUAGAGUUAAAAAAAUGUGGAGUUGAAAGUCAUCAGAAGGUUUUCAUCUUGUUUUUUUUUUUUUGGUUUUUUUUGGAUUUUAAGAAUAAAACUUAAACUAUUGAGAA